rnacentral:sRNA from 1 species
GCUGGGCAUGGUGGUGCACGCCUGUAAUCCCAGCUACUCGGGAGGCUGAGGCAGAAGAAUCACUUGAACUUGGGAGGUGGAGGUUGCAGUGAGCUAAGAUCACGCCACUGCACUCCAGCCUGGGUGACAGAGUGAGACUCUGUCUCAA